GAUGAACGCUGGCGGCGUGCCUAAUACAUGCAAGUCGAGCGAAUGGAUUAAGAGCUUGCUCUUAUGAAGUUAGCGGCGGACGGGUGAGUAACACGUGGGUAACCUGCCCAUAAGACUGGGAUAACUCCGGGAAACCGGGGCUAAUACCGGAUAACAUUUUGAACCGCAUGGUUCGAAAUUGAAAGGCGGCUUCGGCUGCCACUUAUGGAUGGACCCGCGUCGCAUUAGCUAGCUGGUGAGGUAACGGCUCACCAAGGCAACGAUGCGUAGCCGACCUGAGAGGGGGAUCGGCCACACUGGGACUGAGACACGGCCCAGACUCCUACGGGAGGCAGCAGUAGGGAAUCUUCCGCAAUGGACGAAAGUCUGACGGAGCAACGCCGCGUGAGUGAUGAAGGCUUUCGGGUCGUAAAACUCUGUUGUUAGGGAAGAACAAGUGCUAGUUGAAUAAGCUGGCACCUUGACGGUACCUAACCAGAAAGCCACGGCUAACUACGUGCCAGCCGCCGCCGUAA
rnacentral:rRNA from 1 species